UGAGUAAACUGCUUUAAGAAGAACCAGUGGUUGUGUUUUCCUUGCUGGUAGAGUUGGACGCAACAAGUUGUGCCGAAACCCGAGACCCGACUCCCCCACCGAAGAGGUUCAGAACUUUCUGCAGUCGGGGUCUGUCGACAGGAUGAGUACGGUUUCCAUUGCCAUCCUGAAUGGAUUUGCGGUCAUUAUAGAAAUACAUUUCUAGGUACAUGUGGAUGUCUGAAGAAGGCAGAAGAGAGUGUCAGAAGGCCUGGAACUGGAGUUGUGAGGUCCUUCAUGUGGGUGCUGAGAACCAAACAUGUCCUUAGAAAGAGCACCAAAUGCUCUUUACUCCAGAGGUAUCUCUCUAACCCACCCAGCGCAUUCUAAUUCAGAUAACUUCAACAAUGAUCUCAACGGCUUUGAAAUAACAAAAUAAUGCU